AUUGAACGCUGGCGGAAUGCUUUACACAUGCAAGUCGAGCGGCAGCGCGGGGCAACCUGGCGGCGAGCGGCGAACGGGUGAGUAAUGCAUCGGAACAUGUCCAUGUCGUGGGGGAUAGCCCGGCGAAAGCCGGAUUAAUACCGCAUACGCCCGAGAGGGGAAAGUGGGGGACCGCAAGCCCUCACGCGAUCGGGUUGGGCGAUGUCCGAUUAGCUAGUUGGCGGGGUAAGAGCCCACCAAGGCGAUGAUCGGUAGCUGGUCUGAGAGGAUGAUCAGCCACACUGGGACUGAGACACGGCCCAGACUCCUACGGGAGGCAGCAGUGGGGAAUUUUGGACAAUGGGGGCAACCCUGAUCCAGCCAUUCCGCGUGAGUGAAGAAGGCCUUCGGGUUGUAAAGCUCUUUUGUCCGGAACGAAACGGUUACGGUGAAUACCCGUGACUACUGACGGUACCGGAAGAAUAAGCACCGGCUAACUACGUGCCAGCCGCCGCGGUAAAAC
rnacentral:rRNA from 1 species